rnacentral:lncRNA from 1 species
CUUUGACUAAUUUUAGACAGGAAGUAUCUUUUCUGUGUCCCUUGCAGGCAUGAAGAACGAUUUCUAAACUCCUCUGGAAAGCGUCAGUUAAAACAAUCUGUGAGCCCAGAUGUCUGAAAGUGAGAAAUCGUAGCUGUGGCAUCUGGAUCCUCCACAGACUCCAAAAAGACACAUAGAAGCUCUUCAAACAUCUUUCAGUUCUGCAAGCCUUCGUUAUAGAAUCACACAAUCAUAGUGGCUGGAAAGGAUCUCUGGAGAUCCUCUAGUCCAAUCCCCUGCUAAAGCGAGUUCCCUACAGUAGGUUGCACAGGAAAGCAUCUGGGUGGGCUCUGAGUAUCUCCAGAGAAGGAGACUCCACAACCUCUCUGGGCAGCCUGUUUCAGUGCUCUGUCACCCUCAGACUGAGUAAGAUCUUUCUCAUAUUCAGAAUUCAUCCAUUAAAAAAAAAACUAUAAUAAAAAAAUAUAAAAUUGCUAAGGGAAAGGUUAAGCU